rnacentral:rRNA from 1 species
AGCGAACGCUGGCGGCAGGCCCAACACAUGCAAGUCGAACGAAGCCUUCGGGCUUAGUGGCGGACGGGUGAGUAACACGUGGGAACGUACCUUUUGGUUCGGAAUAACGCAGAGAAAUUUGCGCUAAUACCGAAUGAGCCCUUCGGGGGAAAGAUUUAUCGCCGAAAGAUCGGCCCGCGUUGGAUUAGGUAGUUGGUGUGGUAAAGGCGCACCAAGCCUACGAUCCAUAGCUGGUCUGGAAGGAUGAUCAGCCACACUGGGACUGGGACACGGCCCAGACUCCUACGGGAGGCAGCAGUGGGGAAUCUUGCGCAAUGGGCGAAAGCCUGACGCAGCCAUGCCGCGUGAAUGAUUAAGGUCUUAGGAUUGUAAAAUUCUUUUACCAGGGACGAUAAUGACGGUACCUGGAGAAAAAGCCCCGGCUAACUUCGUGCCAGCCGCCGCAGUAA